AUUGAACGCUGGCGGCAUGCCUUACACAUGCAAGUCGAACGGUAACGCGGGGGCAACCCUGGCGACGAGUGGCGAACGGGUGAGUAAUACAUCGGAACGUACCCAGUAGUGGGGGAGUAGCUCGGCGAAAGCCGGAUUAAUACCGCAUACGACCUAUGGGUGAAAGCGGGGGAGUCGCAAGACCUCGCGCUAUUGGAGCGGCCGAUGUCGGAUUAGCUAGUUGGUGAGGUAAAAGCNCACCAAGGCUACGAUCCGUAGCUGGUCUGAGAGGACGACCAGCCACACUGGGACUGAGACACGGCCCAGACUCCUACGGGAGGCAGCAGUGGGGAAUUUUGGACAAUGGGCGAAAGCCUGAUCCAGCCAUGCCGCGUGUGUGAAGAAGGCCCUCGGGUUGUAAAGCACUUUUGUCCGGAACGAAACGGCGAAGGCGAAUAACUUU
rnacentral:rRNA from 1 species